GAUGAACGCUGGCGGCGUGCCUAAUACAUGCGAGUCGAGCGAACAGACGAGGAGCUUGCUCCUCUGACGUUAGCGGCGGACGGGUGAGUAACACGUGGAUAACCUACCUAUAAGACUGGGAUAACUUCGGGAAACCGGAGCUAAUACCGGAUAAUAUAUUGAACCGCAUGGUUCAAUAGUGAAAGACGGUUUUGCUGUCACUUAUAGAUGGAUCCGCGCCGCAUUAGCUAGUUGGUAAGGUAACGGCUUACCAAGGCAACGAUGCGUAGCCGACCUGAGAGGGUGAUCGGCCACACUGGAACUGAGACACGGUCCAGACUCCUACGGGAGGCAGCAGUAGGGAAUCUUCCGCAAUGGGCGAAAGCUUGACGGAGCAACGCCGCGUGAGUGAUGAAGGUCUUCGGAUCGUAAAACUCUGUUAUUAGGGAAGAACAAAUGUGUGAGUAACUAUGCACGUCUUGACGGUACCUAAUCAGAAAGCCACGGCUAACUACGUG
rnacentral:rRNA from 1 species